rnacentral:rRNA from 1 species
GGGUUGUGAGGUUAAGCGACUAAGCGUACACGGUGGAUGCCCUGGCAGUCAGAGGCGAUGAAGGACGUGCUAAUCUGCGAUAAGCGUCGGUAAGGUGAUAUGAACCGUUAUAACCGGCGAUUUCCGAAUGGGGAAACCCAGUGUGAUUCGUCACACUAUCAUUAACUGAAUCCAUAGGUUAAUGAGGCGAACCGGGGGAACUGAAACAUCUAAGUACCCCGAGGAAAAGAAAUCAACCGAGAUUCCCCCAGUAGCGGCGAGCGAACGGGGAGCAGCCCAGAGCCUGAAUCAGUGUGUGUGUUAGUGGAAGCGUCUGGAAAGGCGUGCGAUACAGGGUGACAGCCCCGUACACAAAAAUGCACAUAUUGUGAGCUCGAUGAGUAGGGCGGGACACGUGGUAUCCUGUCUGAAUAUGGGGGGACCAUCCUCCAAGGCUAAAUACUCCUGACUGACCGAUAGUGAACCAGUACCGUGAGGGAAAGGCGAAAAGAACCCCGGCGAGGGGAGUGAAAAAGAACCUGAAACCGUGUACGUACAAGCAGUGGGAGCACGCUUAGGCGUGUGACUGCGUACCUUUUGUAUAAUGGGUCAGCGACUUAUAUUCUGUAGCAAGGUUAACCGAAUAGGGGAGCCGAAGGGAAACCGAGUCUUAACUGGGCGUUAAGUUGCAGGGUAUAGACCCGAAACCCGGUGAUCUAGCCAUGGGCAGGUUGAAGGUUGGGUAACACUAACUGGAGGACCGAACCGACUAAUGUUGAAAAAUUAGCGGAUGACUUGUGGCUGGGGGUGAAAGGCCAAUCAAACCGGGAGAUAGCUGGUUCUCCCCGAAAGCUAUUUAGGUAGCGCCUCGUGAAUUCAUCUCCGGGGGUAGAGCACUGUUUCGGCAAGGGGGUCAUCCCGACUUACCAACCCGAUGCAAACUGCGAAUACCGGAGAAUGUUAUCACGGGAGACACACGGCGGGUGCUAACGUCCGUCGUGAAGAGGGAAACAACCCAGACCGCCAGCUAAGGUCCCAAAGUCAUGGUUAAGUGGGAAACGAUGUGGGAAGGCCCAGACAGCCAGGAUGUUGGCUUAGAAGCAGCCAUCAUUUAAAGAAAGCGUAAUAGCUCACUGGUCGAGUCGGCCUGCGCGGAAGAUGUAACGGGGCUAAACCAUGCACCGAAGCUGCGGCAGCGACGCUUAUGCGUUGUUGGGUAGGGGAGCGUUCUGUAAGCCUGUGAAGGUGUGCUGUGAGGUAUGCUGGAGGUAUCAGAAGUGCGAAUGCUGACAUAAGUAACGAUAAAGCGGGUGAAAAGCCCGCUCGCCGGAAGACCAAGGGUUCCUGUCCAACGUUAAUCGGGGCAGGGUGAGUCGACCCCUAAGGCGAGGCCGAAAGGCGUAGUCGAUGGGAAACAGGUUAAUAUUCCUGUACUUGGUGUUACUGCGAAGGGGGGACGGAGAAGGCUAUGUUGGCCGGGCGACGGUUGUCCCGGUUUAAGCGUGUAGGCUGGUUUUCCAGGCAAAUCCGGAAAAUCAAGGCUGAGGCGUGAUGACGAGGCACUACGGUGCUGAAGCAACAAAUGCCCUGCUUCCAGGAAAAGCCUCUAAGCAUCAGGUAACAUCAAAUCGUACCCCAAACCGACACAGGUGGUCAGGUAGAGAAUACCAAGGCGCUUGAGAGAACUCGGGUGAAGGAACUAGGCAAAAUGGUGCCGUAACUUCGGGAGAAGGCACGCUGAUAUGUAGGUGAAGUCCCUUGCGGAUGGAGCUGAAAUCAGUCGAAGAUACCAGCUGGCUGCAACUGUUUAUUAAAAACACAGCACUGUGCAAACACGAAAGUGGACGUAUACGGUGUGACGCCUGCCCGGUGCCGGAAGGUUAAUUGAUGGGGUCAGCGCAAGCGAAGCUCUUGAUCGAAGCCCCGGUAAACGGCGGCCGUAACUAUAACGGUCCUAAGGUAGCGAAAUUCCUUGUCGGGUAAGUUCCGACCUGCACGAAUGGCGUAAUGAUGGCCAGGCUGUCUCCACCCGAGACUCAGUGAAAUUGAACUCGCUGUGAAGAUGCAGUGUACCCGCGGCAAGACGGAAAGACCCCGUGAACCUUUACUAUAGCUUGACACUGAACAUUGAGCCUUGAUGUGUAGGAUAGGUGGGAGGCUUUGAAGUGUGGACGCCAGUCUGCAUGGAGCCGACCUUGAAAUACCACCCUUUAAUGUUUGAUGUUCUAACGUGGACCCGUGAUCCGGGUUGCGGACAGUGUCUGGUGGGUAGUUUGACUGGGGCGGUCUCCUCCUAAAGAGUAACGGAGGAGCACGAAGGUUGGCUAAUCCUGGUCGGACAUCAGGAGGUUAGUGCAAUGGCAUAAGCCAGCUUGACUGCGAGCGUGACGGCGCGAGCAGGUGCGAAAGCAGGUCAUAGUGAUCCGGUGGUUCUGAAUGGAAGGGCCAUCGCUCAACGGAUAAAAGGUACUCCGGGGAUAACAGGCUGAUACCGCCCAAGAGUUCAUAUCGACGGCGGUGUUUGGCACCUCGAUGUCGGCUCAUCACAUCCUGGGGCUGAAGUAGGUCCCAAGGGUAUGGCUGUUCGCCAUUUAAAGUGGUACGCGAGCUGGGUUUAGAACGUCGUGAGACAGUUCGGUCCCUAUCUGCCGUGGGCGCUGGAGAACUGAGGGGGGCUGCUCCUAGUACGAGAGGACCGGAGUGGACGCAUCACUGGUGUUCGGGUUGUCAUGCCAAUGGCACUGCCCGGUAGCUAAAUGCGGAAGAGAUAAGUGCUGAAAGCAUCUAAGCACGAAACUUGCCCCGAGAUGAGUUCUCCCUGACCCUUUAAGGGUCCUGAAGGAACGUUGAAGACGACGACGUUGAUAGGCCGGGUGUGUAAGCGCAGCGAUGCGUUGAGCUAACCGGUACUAAUGAACCGUGAGGCUUAACCUUACAACGCCGAAG